rnacentral:rRNA from 1 species
CCUACGGGCGGCAGGAGUGGGGAAUAUUGGACAAUGGGCGAAAGCCUGAUCCAGCCAUGCCGCGUGUGUGAAGAAGGCCUUCGGGUUGUAAAGCACUUUCAGUGGGGAAGAAAGCCUUGGGGCUAAUACCCUCGAGGAAGGACAUCACCCACAGAAGAAGCACCGGCUAACUCCGUGCCAGCAGCCGCGGUAAUACGGAGGGUGCGAGCGUUAAUCGGAAUUACUGGGCGUAAAGCGCGCGUAGGCGGUCUGAUAAGCCGGUUGUGAAAGCCCCGGGCUCAACCUGGGAACGGCAUCCGGAACUGUCAGGCUAGAGUGCAGGAGAGGAAGGUAGAAUUCCCGGUGUAGCGGUGAAAUGCGUAGAGAUCGGGAGGAAUACCAGUGGCGAAGGCGGCCUUCUGGACUGACACUGACGCUGAGGUGCGAAAGCGUGGGUAGCAAACAGGAUUAGAUACCCCAGUAGUC